rnacentral:lncRNA from 1 species
AAAUUCUCUCUCCUAAGGUUUGAUCAGCACACUAUCCUUCAUGAUAUCUUGUGAUUCAACCAUGAAAAAUGCAAAAUAAUGCAUAGGAAAGGUAGAUCACAAGCUAGAAUUAAAAAAUUUUACCUUUUUAAUGGCUUGAUUCCUUGAAAAUCAACAAUUUCCCUUUGAAUUUUUCUCUCUAGGGUUUUUGUUCUUCCUUUUUUCUCUUUUUCUCUCUUUGGCCGACCAAGAUAAAUGAGUUGGGAGGGUUAUG